rnacentral:ncRNA from 2 species
UGGUGGUGCAUGGCCGUUCU